UGCUAUUAAGGUUUUUAAGCCAGCCACCUGAAGAGACUAGCAGCUUCUUAAACAUGUCACCUCAAUGAAAUCACUAUUUGUUUUGCAUGUAAUACGGAGCCAUCUUGGCUUUCACAUCCCUCGUGAAAUAUGGUAAGCAUCUCUUUAUUUUGUUCCAGAAGAUAGAAAACUCUUUGUGGGCAUGCUCAAUAAGCAGCAGUCAGAAGAUGAUGUGCGCAGGCUAUUUGAGGCAUUUGGCAACAUCGAGGAGUGUACGAUCCUUCGUGGACCCGAUGGCAACAGCAAAGGGUGUGCAUUUGUGAAAUACUCUUCACAUGCAGAGGCCCAAGCAGCCAUCAAUGCCUUGCAUGGCAGCCAGACAAUGCCGGGAGCCUCUUCAAGCCUGGUGGUGAAGUUUGCAGAUACGGACAAGGAGCGUACAAUGAGACGCAUGCAGCAAAUGGCAGGACAAAUGGGCAUGUUCAACCCCAUGGCCAUCCAGUUUGGAGCAUAUGGCGCCUAUGCACAGGCACUGAUGCAGCAGCAAGCCGCGAUCAUGGCAUCAGUGGCGCAGGGCGGCUACCUGAACCCCAUGGCAGCCUUUGCUGCAGCCCAGAUGCAGCAAAUGGCAGCCCUGAACAUGAACGGGCUGGCUGCUGCUCCCAUGACACCAACCUCAGGAGAGUGGGUUCCUUGGGACAUGGCCAUGAGUUCAUUCAGGCUCACGAGUUCCCAUGGUGGAAGCACGCCUCCUGGUAUAACUGCACCAGCUGUGCCUAGCAUCCCAUCUCCAAUUGGGGUGAAUGGUUUCACUGGCCUCCCGCCGCAGGCUAAUGGGCAGCCCGCCGCCGAAGCCGUGUUUGCUAAUGGCAUUCACCCUUACCCAGCACAAAGCCCCACUGCAGCAGACCCCUUGCAACAAGCCUACGCUGGAGUGCAGCAGUACGCAGGUCCUGCUUAUCCUGCUGCUUAUGGCCAGAUUAGCCAAGCCUUCCCACAGCCACCUCCCAUGAUCCCACAGCAACAGAGAGAAGGCAGUGGGGAGCAGUGGGAUCCUCAGAGGCAACCUGCUCAGGUGGUCCCAGUCAUCCUCCAGAGAAUCACUGCUCCCUUUGGACAAGAGGAUCCUGCUUGCCUAAGUGAGGCAUUUAAGUCAGGACCAGAGGGCUGUAACCUGUUUAUCUACCAUCUGCCCCAGGAGUUUGGGGAUGCUGAGCUGAUGCAGAUGUUCCUGCCUUUCGGUAAUGUCAUCUCCUCGAAAGUGUUUGUGGAUCGGGCGACAAACCAAAGUAAAUGCUUUGGUUUUGUGAGUUUUGACAAUCCUGCCAGUGCCCAAGCUGCUAUCCAGGCUAUGAAUGGCUUCCAAAUUGGCAUGAAGAGGCUGAAGGUGCAGCUGAAGAGGCCAAAGGAUGCUAACCGUCCCUACUGAAGAGCUGUGGGAACAACUGGAUACAAAGCACUAGCACAGAGCCAGUCAAAUCCACCACAGUCUCGCGCUGAGCUAGGAAAAAAGUUCACGUAAUGACAUGAAAGUGGAGAAUACAGUCCCCCAGGCCGGCAGCAGCUGAAUGGGCUACAUUUAGAAAAAAAAAAAAAACACAAAAAUUAUAUAUAUAUUAAAAAAAAACAGGAACUGUUGGAUUACACCUUUGACAUAUCAGCAAAUAUCAAUCAAGCUGAAGACUUCAGAAUUAUUCUCUCUUUGAUUGUUUAGACUGUAACAUUUCUUCAAGGAAAGUAUCACAUCUGCUGACUUCGAAGGACAUGCGCUUGAAAACAAACAAACAAAUACAUAAGUAAAAUCAGAACAGGAUCAAGAUCAACCAGGAUUUCUGAAGAGACACUGAUAUCACCACAGCGGCUUUUCUUCAAACAGGAGAUGCAAACCUGGAUACUGGCAAAGGAGUGCCUGUUUGCCACCAAGGAUGCGGUUAUCAUGUGUGACCCAUGGUAACAGUCACUGAGCAUCUUUAUCUGUCAUUCCUUAGCUAUAUGGGGACCAAAGGACAAAACUUUUUACCGCAGACUUGUAGCUGUAUGUAAAAUAUGGAAGUUCUUUCCUUUUCUCUGAGCUGUUCCUAAAACAGUUUUUGAGAGCGAUUAUAAGAAAUAUGUAAAAAUUAAAAAAAAAUAAUAAUAACGCUUAAAUGCUUUUAAAACGGCAAGAUAAUAGUUCUUUGAUACUUUGGGAGGUUCUUUGGUUAUACAUUAAUUAGAGUCUAUGAAGCUUUCAUAUGGUUUUCUGUAUAAUACGUAAGGAUUUAAGGAUUGCGCUGUUAAAGGCAGGUAAGAUGGAUAUCUAUGAAAAGCAAAAAAGUAAAUAAAUAAAUACAUAAAUAAAUACAUUAAAAGGCAUAGAGAAGAGAAAGGAAAGAUGGUUGAUAUUAAAUGGAAAACAAAAAAAGGUUUGUAAAUGCUUCUAACUCUCCCCAUUUAAAAUCCUAAUAGUUGUACAGAAUUUAAAAAAGAAAGUUUAAAAUACCUAUAUAAUAGAAAAAAUUAGACAACAUAAAAAGAAAAAAAAUAAAAAAGCAAAAAAAAAAUAACUACAUAGAAGUUAGCGUUAAUGCUAAAAACAAAGAUGUUGUAGAACUGUAAUUUUUUGUAGAGUUUAGAUUGAGCAUAAAUUCCUACUCUCUGCCAAUUGCUGUUGGAUGCUGUUAUUUAUCGAGGAGAAAGAGGAGAGAAAUGGCUAUUUUGGCAGCUUUUUUAACUGCAAGCAUUCCAGCUAUUAAAAAAAAUAAACGAAACGAAACUCAAUUCUGUAGACAAUGCAAAUGGGAAAAAAAGAAAAAAAAAAAAACAGCUGUCUUUUUAUCAGACGUUAGUUCUAACUUGAACAAUGAAACACAGCUAAACGCUUCAUGUCUUCAUGAUCUGCUGUCCGCAAAAUUCCCAUCAUCCUAUGCUUUAGUAGCUUCCAUAUUUGCUCUAGAAACCUUCAGGGCAAGGUGUUAGCCUAGAACCUUAAUCUUAAAAAAUAAAAAUAAAAAAAUAAUAAAAAAAAUAAAAAAAGAAAAAAUAAACAAAAAAAAACAUAA